rnacentral:rRNA from 1 species
UGGCGACCGGCGCACGGGUGAGUAACGCGUAUGCAACUUGCCUAUCAGAGGGGGAUAACCCGGCGAAAGUCGGACUAAUACCGCAUGAAGCAGGGGCCCCGCAUGGGGAUAUUUGCUAAAGAUUCAUCGCUGAUAGAUAGGCAUGCGUUCCAUUAGGCAGUUGGCGGGGUAACGGCCCACCAAACCGACGAUGGAUAGGGGUUCUGAGAGGAAGGUCCCCCACAUUGGUACUGAGACACGGACCAAACUCCUACGGGAGGCAGCAGUGAGGAAUAUUGGUCAAUGGGCGCGAGCCUGAACCAGCCAAGUCGCGUGAGGGAUGAAGGUUCUAUGGAUCGUAAACCUCUUUUAUAAGGGAAUAAAGUGCGGGACGUGUCCUGUUUUGUAUGUACCUUAUGAAUAAGGAUCGGCUAACUCCGUGCCAGCAGCCGCGGUAAUACGGAGGAUCCGAGCGUUAUCCGGAUUUAUUGGGUUUAAAGGGUGCGUAGGCGGCCUUUUAAGUCAGCGGUGAAAGUCUGUGGCUCAACCAUAGAAUUGCCGUUGAAACUGGGGGGCUUGAGUAUGUUUGAGGCAGGCGGAAUGCGUGGUGUAGCGGUGAAAUGCUUAGAUAUCACGCA